GUCUUUUUCAAUUGAUCUUCACGGAGAUUUACUUUUUUACUGUUGUUUUGUUUUGUUUUGCCUAUAAAUUUCUACAGAAUGGGAAUCCUCAAAACCCCUACUGUGAUGGCAUUGAGGGGGUCAUGGAGGCUUAUUACAGGAGUCUGAAAUCUGUACAACUGUAUGGGCCCACCAACUUUGCUCCUGUAAUUAAUCAUGUAGCAAGAUAUGCUUCUUCUGUAAAGGAUGGCUCCCAGUAUUUUGUGCUUCUGAUUGUUACAGAUGGUGUUAUCUCAGAUAUGGCCCAGACUAAGGAGUCCAUAGUUAAUGCCUCAAAACUUCCAAUGUCAAUAAUUAUAGUAGGUGUUGGACCAGCAGAAUUUGAUGCAAUGAUCGAAUUGGAUGGAGAUGAUGUAAGAGUCUCCUCUAGAGG
rnacentral:sRNA from 1 species